rnacentral:misc_RNA from 1 species
AGCGUAUACCCUUAGCACUGUAAUGAUUACAAACAAGAAUUUUGAAUUUCAAUUCUUCUUAUCGAUCUGGCAAAAAUCAAGCAGAUACUAGGGAGUCAUGUCUCGAUAAUCUUCAUAUGCAUCAGAUACAACCACAUUAGCUUUACUUGAUGCCCGCUGAAUUGUUGUUGCUGCUAUUAUCUUGUCUCUUCUUGCAUCAGAU